rnacentral:rRNA from 1 species
UUAAAGUAGUAAGGGCGCAGGGUGGAUGCCUUGGCACUAAGAGCCGAUGAAAGACGUGAUAAGCUGCGAAAAGCUUCGGGGAGGAGCACAUAUCCAAUGAUCCGGAGAUAUCUGAAUGGGGAAACCCGGCAGAGGAAACCUCUGUCAGCGUGCAGUGAAUACAUAGCUGUACGUGGGGAACCCGGGGAACUGAAACAUCUAAGUACCCGGAGGAAGAGAAAGAAAAUUUAUCGAUUUCCAAAGUAGCGGCGAGCGAAAUGGAAAGAGCCCAAACCGUGAUGCGUGCAUCGCGGGGUUCGGACUGCGUUGUGGCAGACGUAAGAUAGGAGAACGGACUGGGAAGUCCGGCCGGAGAGAGUGAAAGCCUCGUAUCCGAAAUCCCAAGUCGCCUAGCAGGAUCCAGAGUAGGACGAGACACGAGAAACCUUGUCUGAACGAGCGGGGACCACCCCGUAAGGCUAAAUACUUCUUAGUGACCGAUAGCGCAUAGUACUGUGAAGGAAAGGUGAAAAGUACCCCGGGAGGGGAGUGAAAGAGAACCUGAAACCCUGUGUCUACAAGCUGUGGGACCUCUUUAUAUGAGGGACUGCGUACUUUUUGUAGAACGGUCCGGCGAGUUGUGCGUACUGGCGAGGUUAAGGACUUAAGGUCUGGAGCCGAAGUGAAAGCAAGCGUUAAUAGCGCGUCAAGUCAGUGAGUGCAGACCCGAAACCGGGUGACCUAUCCAUGUCCAGGUUGAAGCUUCCGUAAGAGGAAGUGGAGGACCGAACCCACAUCCGUUGAAAAGGGUGGGGAUGAGGUGUGGAUAGCGGAGAAAUUCCAAUCGAACCCGGAGAUAGCUGGUUCUCCUCGAAAUAGCUUUAGGGCUAGCCUCAUGAGAGUCUUAUGGAGGUAGAGCACUGAAUUGCCUAGGGGGCGUCAAAGCUUACCAAAGCAUAUCAAACUCCGAAUGCCAUCAAGAUGAUUCAUGGGAGUCAGACCAUACGAGAUAAGUUGGAUGGUCAAAAGGGAAAGAGCCCAGACCUACAGCUAAGGUCCCAAAGUGCGUGUUAAGUGGAAAAGGAUGUGGGGAUUCUAAGACAACUAGGACGUUGGCUUAGAAGCAGCCAUUCAUUGAAAGAGUGCGUAAUAGCUCACUAGUCGAGAGUCCCUGCGCCGAAAAUGUCCGGGGCUGAAACACGACACCGAAGCUUAGGAAUGUGUAAACAUUGGUAGAGGAGCAUUGCUGGCGGGAUGAAGCCAUACCGUAAGGAGUGGUGGACUGCUAGGAAGAGAGAAUGCCGGAAUGAGUAGCGAGAUGAAGGUGAGAAUCCUUCAGGCCGAAUAUCUAAGGUUUCCAGAGUAAAGCUGAUCUGCUCUGGGUAAGUCGGGACCUAAGGCGAGGUCGAAAGACGUAGUCGAUGGAUAACAGGUUGAAAUUCCUGUACCGCAUAUAAACAGAACUGUGGGGACACAGACAGGGAAUGGAAUCCGGGAAUGGAAAUCCCGGUGCAAGCGAGGUAGGAGUGCUGUUGGCAAAUCCGCAGCACGAUCUGAAGACGUGACGCGUACCGAACAUAAGUAGGGAAGUCCAGGCCCCUGGCUGUCAAGAAAAGCCGCUAUCGUUUUAUAUGUGCCCGUACCGCAAACCGACACAGGUGGAUGAGGAGAGAAUCCUAAGGCCGACGGGAGAAGUAUUGUUAAGGAACUCGGCAAAAUGACUCCGUAACUUCGGGAGAAGGAGUGCCAUGAGAGUGGCCGCAGAGAAAUGGCCCAAGCAACUGUUUAGCAAAAACACAGGUCUAUGCAAAACCGCAAGGUGAAGUAUAUGGGCUGACGCCUGCCCGGUGCUGGAAGGUUAAGGGGAGAGGUUAGCGCAAGCGAAGCUUUGAACUUAAGCCCCAGUAAACGGCGGCCGUAACUAUAACGGUCCUAAGGUAGCGAAAUUCCUUGUCGGGUAAGUUCC